GAUGAACGCUGGCGGCGUGCCUAAUACAUGCAAGUAGAACGCUAAAGGCGGAGCUUGCUCUUAUGGAUGAGUUGCGAACGGGUGAGUCACGCGUAGGAAACCUGCCUGACAGCGGGGGAAAACUAUUGAACACGAUAUCUAAUACCGCAUGACAACAGUUAUUGCAUGAUAACUGUAUAAAAGUGGCAACUGCUCCAAUACCACAUGGACCUGCGUUGUAUUAGCUAGUUGGGGAGGUAACGGCUCACACAGGCGGCUAUACAUAGCCGACCUGGGAGGGGGGUCGGCCGCCCUGGGACUGAGACACGGCCCAGGGUCCUGCGAGAGGCAGCAGAAGGGAAUCUGCGGCAAUGGUCGGAAGUCUUACCGAGCAACGCCGCGUGAGUGAAGGAGGUGUUCGGUGCGUGAUGCUCUGUUGUAAGAUAUGAACGAGUGUGAGAGUGGAAAGUGCACACUGUGACGGUAUCUUACCAGGAAGGGACGGCUAACUACGUG
rnacentral:rRNA from 1 species